AGAGGAUGAUCAGCCACACUGGAACUGAGACACGGUCCAGACUCCUACGGGAGGCAGCAGUGGGGAAUAUUGUACAAUGGGCGCAAGCCUGAUCCAGCCAUGCCGCGUGAGUGAAGAAGGCCCUCGGGUUGUAAAGCUCUUUUGUCCGGAAAGAAAAGCAUCGGGUUAAUACCCCGGUGUUCUGACGGUACCGGAAGAAUAAGCACCGGCUAACUUCGUGCCAGCAGCCGCGGUAAUACGAAGGGUGCAAGCGUUACUCGGAAUUACUGGGCGUAAAGCGUGCGUAGGUGGUUCGUUAAGUCCGAUGUGAAAGCCCUGGGCUCAACCUGGGAAUGGCAUUGGAUACUGGCGGGCUAGAGUGCGGUAAAGGAUAGUGGAAUUCCUGGUGUAGCAGUGAAAUGCGUAGAGAUCAGGAGGAACAUCCGUGGCGAAGGCGACUGUCUGGACCAGCACUGACACUGAGGCACGAAAGCGUGGGGAGCAAACAGGAUU
rnacentral:rRNA from 1 species